rnacentral:rRNA from 1 species
GGAAUUCCUGGUGUAGCGGUGAAAUGCGCAGAUAUCAGGAGGAACACCGAUGGCGAAGGCAGGUCUCUGGGCAUUUACUGACGCUGAGGAGCGAAAGCAUGGGGAGCGAACAGGAUUAGAUACCCUGGUAGUCCAUGCCGUAAACGUUGGGCACUAGGUGUGGGGGACAUUCCACGUUUUCCGCGCCGUAGCUAACGCAUUAAGUGCCCCGCCUGGGGAGUACGGCCGCAAGGCUAAAACUCAAAGGAAUUGACGGGGGCCCGCACAAGCGGCGGAGCAUGCGGAUUAAUUCGAUGCAACGCGAAGAACCUUACCAAGGCUUGACAUGUUCCAGACCGCCUCAGAGAUGGGGUUUCCCUUCGGGGCUGGUUCACAGGUGGUGCAUCGUCAGCUCGUGUCGUGAGAUGUUGGGUUAAGUCCCGCAACGAGCGCAACCCUCGUUCCAUGUUGCCAGCGGGUUAUGCCGGGGACUCAUGGGAGACUGCCGGGGUCAACUCGGAGGAAGGUGGGGAUGACGUCAAAUCAUCAUGCCCCUUAUGUCUUGGGCUUCACGCAUGCUACAAUGGCCGGUACAAUGGGUUGCGAUACUGUGAGGUGGAGCUAAUCCCUAAAAGCCGGUCUCAGUUCGGAUUGGGGUCUGCAACUCGACCCCAUGAAGUCGGAGUCGCUAGUAAUCGCAGAUCAGCAACGCUGCGGUGAAUACGUUCCCGGGCCUUGUACACACCGCCCGUCAAGUCACGAAAGUUGGUAACACCCGAAGCCGAUGGCCUAACCACCUUGUGUGGGGGGAGUCGUCGAA